rnacentral:lncRNA from 10 species
GCCAGCUCUUCCAGGCGGUGGUCUCUGUCUCUGGGGCCCCACUGCCUUCCCAGCCCAGCAUGGAAAAGCAUGAGUGAGUGGGAAGGUUCCCCCUGGAUCCAGCUGUGCCUAAAGUCCAACCCUGGACCUUCCACCUCCAGCAAGGCACCUCUGUAGUUUAACCUGGUUCAAGUUGGGCUUCUGUCCCUGGCCCCUGAAAGAGAGCUCGUGAGCACAGCCUUGUCUCACACGUCUGCCCUCAGCCAGCCCUCACUGCAGGCCUCUGGAGUCUCCCUUAUGGAGAAGGGAGGCCGAGCCUGCUGUUUGUUAGUGAUGGGCCUGGUGACCAGGGUCUGCUGACACUGAACUCAUGGCCCUUGCUGUGGGCCUCCAGGUGAACUUGCAUCUGUCUCUUCAGGCCUCUCCAGUCCUCCCAGGGAAGGCCAAGAACAAAGUGCUUCAGGCCUGGGGAGGGCCCAGAGGCCCAGAGAGGGGCUUGUGAAGCUUUGCUUUGCAGGGUGGACUCUUGUCCCACUCCUAAUUCUACACACUGACUGCAAUUCAGAGACGGAGCUGAUGCCAGCAGCCUCCCUGUGAGCCUCAAGCAGCCAAGAAGUCAGGUGGAGAGGGUAAACUAAGCACAUGGGCUGCCUUCCCCACCAGCCCAACCCCAACCCCCCAGAAAUGUUAGAAAAUAAAUUUAAAACUCUAGGACAGCUCUGGGUGGCAGACACUGGGACACAAGCAGCUAGUGGAGGAACUGCCAGGCACCCGCUUCACCUCCCCAAUCUGCACUCGCUCUCCCUUCUGCUUCUGUCUAGCAACUCAACCAGGGCAGAGGUGUUUGCCCUCAAUUAGGAAUCAUGGGACCUGGUGCUUGAUCAGAGGGGCAGAGAAGUAAAAUUCUUUAUGCUCCCAAACUGGUGAUGAACACGCAUGGGCGGCCCAUCCCAUGUCCCCAUCACAAAAGCAAAUGGAUAGCUAGCAAGCAUCCAGCACUUGCCAUGGGCCAGACUGGGGACUUUCUGUGAUUUAAUGUUCCUGACCACCCAAGGAGGUGGGAAUCAUGGUUACUCCCAUUUUACCUGUGAGGAACUGAGGCUCAGAGCAGUCAGAUACUCUGCCAAGGUCCCAUAGCUGUAAGUAGCUAUGGGGAGACUGGCUUAAGAAGUCAGACACUGCACCUGCAGUCCGGUGACUUGGGAGUGGUCAGAAUUCAUGUGAAGAUGAUUGAUGUGUUUAGGUGAAGAUGAGCCCACCCCAAAAAUGGCAGUCAUUUGAGGCUAAUCAUUCCAAAAAUGCAGAGUUGGUUGAAUAUUUUUAAGCCGAUCAAUGUAAUACCUUCCAUUAACAGAAUAAAGAAGGAAAUGAUAUAAUCAUUUCAAGAGAUGCAGUAAAAUUAUUUGAUAAAAUUCAAAGCUUAUUUUUGAAUAAAACUCUUAGCAAGUAGGAAUAGAAGGGAACCCCCCAAUCUGAUAAAGGGUAUUAUGCUUUGGUUGAGUAACAGCCCCCAAAGA